rnacentral:rRNA from 1 species
GAUGAACGCUGGCGGCGUGCCUAAUACAUGCAAGUCGAGCGAACAGACGAGGAGCUUGCUCCUCUGACGUUAGCGGCGGACGGGUGAGUAACACGUGGAAAACCUACCUAUAAGACUGGGAUAACUUCGGGAAACCGGAGCUAAUACCGGAUAAUAUAUUGAACCGCAUGGUUCAAUAGUGAAAGACGGUUUUGCUGUCACUUAUAGAUGGAUCCGCGCCGCAUUAGCUAGUUGGUAAGGUAACGGCUUACCAAGGCAACGAUGCGUAGCCGACCUGAGAGGGUGAUCGGCCACACUGGAACUGAGACACGGUCCAGACUCCUACGGGAGGCAGCAGUAGGAAAUCUUCCGCAAUGGGCGAAAGCCGGACGGAGCAACGCCGCGUGAGUGAUGAAGGUCUUCGGAUCGUAAAACUCUGUUAUUAGGGAAGAACAAAUGUGUAAGUAACUAUGCACGUCUUGACGGUACCUAAUCAGAAAGCCACGGCUAACUACGUG